UACGGGGGGGGCAAGCGUUGUUCGGAAUUACUGGGCGUAAAGGGCUCGUAGGCGGCCAACUAAGUCGGACGUGAAAUCCCCAGGCUCAACCUGGGAACUGCGUCCGAUACUGGAUGGCUUGAAUUCGGGAGAGGAAUGCAGAAUUCCAGGUGUAGCGGUGAAAUGCGUAGAUAUCUGGAGGAAUACCGGUGGCGAAGGCGGCAUCCUGGACCGACAUUGACGCUGAGGAGCGAAAGCUAGGGGAGCAAACGGG
rnacentral:rRNA from 1 species